CGCAUCAUGAUCACGGUGCCCACCAUCUUGUAGAUUGCCUGAGUUUCGAUCUUGUUGCCCAGGAUGGAGUGCAAUGGCGCGAUCUCGGCUUACUGCAACCUCUGCCUCCUGGGUUCAAGUGAUUUUCCUGCUUCAGCCUCCUGAGUAGCUGGGAUUACAGGCAUGCACCAACACGUCCCGCUAAUUUUUGUAUUUUUAGUAGAGACGGGGUUUCACCAUGUUGACCGGGUUGGUCUCGAACUCAUUACCUCAGGUAAUCCACCGGCCUCACCCUCCCAAAGUGCUAGGAUUACAGGCGUGAGCCACCACGCCCAGCCCUCAACUAAUUUUUUAUUUAGACUAAAUAAUAUUUAUGUGGAUGAAACAUGCCAGAAGCCCAACUCCGUGGAGACCUUACUGAUGGGGCUCCUGGCUCCCCGUAUGACCACCUUCCUAUCACUCUCUCCCUCUCAUGGCUCUCCCACCACCGGGCCUCCUGGCCCCUCCUUGAACUCUGCAGAGAAAGGCCGACCUGCCUUAAUUGCCCCUCAGCAUGGAACGCUUUCCCCCAGGCAUCUUGCAGUAAAGGCCUCACCCCAUUCAGG
rnacentral:lncRNA from 10 species